GUCCGCUCGUCGGCACCCGAUCCGCGAUUCCGGAUGUCGUCGGCCGCCGGCCACACCGCAAGGUGCGCGCCGUGUUAGGUCGUCGGCACCGGCCGGUCGGGGUCGUUUCGGCGGCGGCGGGCUGCACUUCUCUCCCGGUAGGUCGUCGCGACCCGUUGGACUUUGCGGGGGGUCUCAGGCCCGGGAUGGAGCCCGAGGGGAUCGCCGAGGAAUCUCGGAUUCACGUUCCCCCGGACCCCGGUCGCCCGGCCCCGGUUCGACGGUAUGAGGCGUGGAGAUGGCCCGCUCUCUUGCGAGCGUCCGGCCCGGUGGGCAAGCUCCGCGGGUUUUUUUCCGUGCGUGGUGCCGCGGCUAACGCCGCGUCCCCGCCGCCCGCGGGCUGCUGGUCUCCGGAGUCCUCGGACAGCUUUGGCCCUUUCUCCCGUCAGCGGCGCUAUUGCUUCGGAUGCCUUCCCGACCCGUCUUGAAACACGGACCAAGGAGUCUAACAUGUGCGCGAGUCACUGGGAACCACUAAACCCAGAGGCGCAAUGAAAGUGGGGCGGCCUCGUGCCGCCAAGGGAGGAUGGCUCUCCUUUCCGGGGGAGCCCGCACUCCCGGGGCGCCCCGGCUUCGGCCGUGGGCGCACUCUGAGCGUACACGUUGGGACCCGAAAGAUGGUGAACUAUGCCUGGUCAGGACGAAGUCAGGGGAAACCCUGAUGGAGGUCCGCAGCGAUUCUGACGUGCAAAUCGAUCGUCAGAGC
rnacentral:rRNA from 1 species